ACAGCUGAAGACUGGAAAAACCUCGUCUGGUCUGAUGAAUCUUGAUUUCUGCUGAGGCACAUCGUAGGGUCAGAAUUUGGUGCCAACAGAAAUGAAUCCAUGGAUCCAACCUGUCUUGUGUCAACAGUCCAGGUCUGGCCAGCAGGAUACAGUCUGGGAAAGACAUACGCAUGUGGCAGUGACCAACACAACAAACAGUCAUGUCUCAUCUCCUCUGCAAAGGACAUCAAACUAAACAAGAUACUGCUGAAUCUUCAGCUGAAGGUGACGACAUGGGUUCAGCUGGUGUUAUCAGCCUGAGAGCUGGGCACGAUAGCUAUGCACAGACUCCAGAUCAGUUAUGUGGACACUAUCCCUUCACAGAUACAUCAGGGGAAACCUGGUUACAUUCCCUGCAGCUGUGACUGUGGUGGUCCAGGCCUGGAAAAUGCCUGUCAUCAGAAGGGCUGUGAUCAGAAAUCUCCACACUUUCACACCAGCAUUGAGAGAGAGGCGUAGAUGACAUCUCCCAGAUCCCUCUUUCUUCACUCUCCAUACUCCUACAGCUUUUUUUUUUUCCAACUGCUUAUCACCAACAAGUGCAGGGUCACUUACUGUGAGAGCUCAUCAGUUGAAGAUGGUUUUAAUUACUACUGCCUAAGCAAUAUUUUACUUGAAACUAUUGUUAAUAUGCUUUAAUUAGAAAAAAGUGCUUCAUAUUUCUUCACUUCUCCAUACUGUUUACAUCUAUUCUGCCUUGCCCAACUCCCCUGAGCAGAGUUUGUGCUUGUACGGUAUACACUGUAGGUUUUCUUCACAUAUCUUUCCUGUUACCCAGGUUUAUGUAUACACAACUUUUUAUAUUAGAUAUUAUGUCUUGCAUUGUGGUUACAUUCACCCAUCUGGGCAGUGUGAUUGACAGUGGGACAGAAAAGGACAUCCAGGCCAAACUUGUCAAAACUACUGCAGCCUUAAAUCUCAACAUUAAGUCUGUCCUCCUCGAUGGCUCCGAGAGCUGGAAGGUUACAAAGACAGAUAUGAGACAGAAAGAAGCAUUUCACCUUUGAUUUCAACAUCUUCUGUCCGAAUAAAAUCAGCCACAUCAUAGACAAGAAGUUGUUGUGACAUUGUCCAAGAGAUCCAGCAAGGCCAUCUGAGUUGGUUGGGCCAUGUCCUAAGGUAUGCCAGAAACAGUUGUAAUCCUAACUUGAGCUAAAUCUAGUGGUACCAGGUAUAUUUUUGGUAAAAGCUAAAUUACACUCAAUUGUAAGCAUAAGAGCUUGCACAUUUUUAAGUCCCUUAAAGAGUUACCUUAAUGCAGAGCUUCCUUGAAAAGAUGUCCAUGGAGACUUAUUUAGUGAAGACUCAAAUUAAAUUAACUCAGACAACAAGAAGUUUAAUUUCAUCAACCCAAGGACACUUUACAAAGUAAUGGUGCUACAGAAAGAGAAGCAAAUCAACCAAAAGAAAACAUGACAGGUAGGAGACACAGAAAACAAAAUGACAAUUUACAUGUGACACAGACAACAGACUAGCUCAAAGCACUGAAAAAGACAGAACAGUCAGUGAUAUAGCAGAGAGAGAAGAGAUAAGAUUUAAGAUGAUUUUUUAAUUUGUGAAGAGAUGGACAAUCCUGAAUGAAACAAUGAGGGAGAGAAUUCCACAGCUUGGGGGCUGCAACCCGAAAUGCUCUGGAACCAGUGGCAGAUAGUUUAAAUUUGGGGAUGGACAACAAACCAGAAGAUGAAAAUCUGAGACUGUGAAUGGGAGAGUAGGGUUGAAGUAAUUUCAUCAGAUAUUGAGGAGUGUAACGAUGGAGUGCUUUAAAUGUAAACAGAAUUAUUUUAUACUGAAUGCGAUACAGAACAGUGCCAGUGGAGGUUCUGGAGGAUAGGGAUGAUGUGUACUAAGCAUUUAGUGUAGGUGAGGAGAGUUUUGAAUAUAUUGAAGCUGAGCAAUUGACUUGACUAGAAAACCAAUGAACGGAGCAUUCCAGUAAUCUCAUCGUGAUGUAAUAAAAGCAUGGGUGAGUGUUUGGGCAUCCUUGGUGCUGAGUGCAAGACAAAGACAUGCAAUGUUGUGAAGAUGAAAAAAAGACUAUGAAGUCUUUGCCUUUUAUCAUAUCACUGCCAGCUGAGAGGAUCCCAAGGCACUGCAUUGGACACCACCAGGAAAGCAGAUGCCAGGUCACCUAAAAACAACAGGGUGGAGAACUUAAAGAACUGCAAUGCAGAUAGAAUGGGAGUCUCAGAGGGCAUGGCACAUGACAGACAGAAAUAGAUGGUCAUACCUCAUUGCAGGCUUAUGUCCCAUCAGGGAUGAAGAAGACAAUUAAGUAAAUAUUAUUGUUACUACAUCAAAACACUAAGCUACUGUAUAUUUUAGUGCAUGUC